AACGUAGCCGAAAGAUUCAAGCUGUUUUUACGCUUUCGGUGUAUAUUAGCUGCUGUGCUUUAGACACACUUCUAUCGUAUCUACUUGUUAAUCUAUUUAAUUUAAUAUGACGUUAUUUUUUAUUAGUCAGAUAUAGUAGCUGGCUGGUUAAAUUAGCAGUAGCUUAGUCGCUAAUGAUAGCUAGCUAGCUAAUAUCCCCGAACAUGAGGUCAGUAAGCUUCUCCCCUCCUGCUAAAGAAGAGGUCUGCUGGACGGAGAAAGAAGCUCUGGGGCUGAACAUUGUAGUGAAAGAGGAGAAGGAAGAGGAGGAUGUCACAGUUAAAAUAAAUUGAGGGCGAGGCUGUUACAGUGAAAGAGGAAGACGUUACAGUUAAAGAGGAGGAUGAGAAAGAGAUGCCGUUUUUGACGUGAAGAAGGAAGGGGAGAUUUCUGUCACAUUGAAAGAUGAAGAGGUGGAGAUAGGAGAUCUGAUUUACAUCAGAGAGAGACGUGACUAUCGUGUAUCCUCUGGGGAGCCUCAACAACAUCAUGAUGCUAACGAGGCAGAGAAGACUCUCUCCCGAUCAUAUCACCUCAAGAAACACCAGAGGAGACCCACAGGGAAGAAAUCUCACUGCUCUGACUGUGGGAAAGGUUGCAAAUCUUCAUCAGAACUUAAAAUACACCAGCGAGUACCCACAGGAGAGAAAUCUCACCACUGUUUUGAUUGUGGGAAGAGUUACUUAAGAUCAGAAUCACUAAAAGUACACAUGAGAAUUCACACUGGAGAGAAACCUUAUAGCUGUGAUCAAUGUGGGAAAAUUUUUACUCACUCAAGCUGCCUGAUAGUACAUCUGAGAGCACACACUGGAGAGAAACCUUAUAGCUGUACUCAAUGUGGGAAGAGGUUUACUCACUCAAGCUGCCUGAUAGUACAUCUGAGAGCACACAGGAGAGAAACCUUAUAGCUGUGAUCAAUGUGGGAAAAAUUUUACUCACUCAAGCUGCCUGAUAGUACAUCUGAGAGCACACAGGAGAGAAACCUUACCACUGCUCAGACUGCGGAAAGAGUUUUGUUAGUUCAACAGAUUUAAAAUCACACCAGAAAAUACACAGAGUAGAGAAACCUUUUAACUGUACUCAAUGUGGGAAGAGGCUUAAUCACUCAAGCUGGCUGAUAGUACAUCUGAGAGCACACACAGGAGUGAAACCUUAUAGCUGUGUUCAAUGUGGGAAGAGAUUUGUUACAUCUAGCCAUCUGACUAUACACCAGAGAACACACACAGGAGAGAAAUCUUAUAGCUGUAGUCAAUGUGGUAAGAGUUUUAUUCAGUCAAGCAGCCUGGUAUCACACCAGAGAACACACACAGGAGAGACAUCUCAUAUCUGUGAUCAAUGUCACAAGAGAUACUCUGAUAAAAGAUCUCUGAUCAAACAUCAGAAAAUACAUACAUGAAGUAGUUGUUUCAUGAUAUCAAUGAAAUGUCACAAUGUAGAAUAUUUGAAUGAUGUCACAAUGUAGAAUGUUUUAACAUUGUAGUAGGAAUACAAAGGAUUUGAAUUUGUUAAAAGUCCAUAUUGAUACAGAAACACUAAACCAUGAUUUAGAUGUAUUAAGAACAAGUUGAUUGACAAAGUCAUGAAAAAUGGAAUAAACCACAUUUUGGCUCUGAUAAAAGAUAUGGCUCUGGGGUCAAAAUGAUCCAUGUCAGAACUAUGGUUCAAUGUAAAUAUGUAGUGGGUCUAAAGUUUGUUUUAAAUUAUCACUCAUUAAACACGAAUCAAUCAA